AUUGAACGCUGGCGGCAGGCCUAACACAUGCAAGUCGAACGAGUGGCGGACGGGUGAGUAAUGUCUGGGAAACUGCCCGAUGGAGGGGGAUAACUACUGGAAACGGUAGCUAAUACCGCAUACCAUCGGAUGUGCCCAGCGGGGCUUAGCUAGUAGGUGGGGUAACUGCUCACCUAGGCGACGAGCCCUCGCUGGUCUGAGAGGAUGAACAGCCACACUAGAACUGAGCCACGGUCCGGACGCCUACGCGAGGCAGGAGAGGGGAGUAUUGCACAAUGGGCGGAAGCCUGAUCCAGCCCUGCCGCGUGUAUGAAGAAGGCCUUCGGGUUUGAAAGUACUUGUGGUGAGGAGGCGUUACUCGAAGAAGAAGCAGCGGCUAACUCCGUGCCAGCCGCCGCGGUAAUUC
rnacentral:rRNA from 1 species